UAAAGGUUUAUAGAAGUGAUUGA
rnacentral:siRNA from 1 species